GACGAACGCUGGCGGCGUGCUUAACACAUGCAAGUCGAACGGAAAGGCCUUUUCGGAGGUACUCGAGUGGCGAACGGGUGAGUAACACGUGGGUGAUCUGCCCUGCACUCUGGGAUAAGCCUGGGAAACUGGGUCUAAUACCGGAUAGGACCGCACUUUAGUGUGUGUGGUGGAAAGUUUUUUCGGUGUAGGAUGAGCCCGCGGCCUAUCAGCUUGUUGGUGGGGUAAUGGCCUACCAAGGCGGCGACGGGUAGCCGGACUGAGAGGUUGGUCGGCCACAUUGGGACUGCGAUACGGCCCGGACUCCUACGGGAGGCAGCAGUGGGGAAUAUUGCACAAUGGGCGCAAGCCUGAUGCAGCGACGCCGCGUGGGGGAUGACGGCCUUCGGGUUGUAAACUCCUUUCGCCAGGGACGAAGCGUUUUGUGACGGUACCUGGAGAAGAAGCACCGGCUAACUACGUG
rnacentral:rRNA from 1 species